ACUGAAAGACAAAAAGGGAUAUUAAUUGAUUAACUCUUUACCCAUGCUGUCAUGGAGAGAGUGUUUCUCUGAAGACGCAGAUAGCAUGGGCUAAAAUCUCUGAAUUUACAACCACGUCCCUACUUGUACCGGGAACACAUACAGAUAUGUUCCCUGUUCAUGUGCAGAUGGCACAUGCAUUCCCAAUUUCCGCACUCACAUGCACAUGAGUGCCAACGUGACAAGCAAUUGGAUUUAGAUUACAAAGUCUAAGAGAGGGUAAGAACUGCGGAUGAAGGUCUUGGGUCCAUUCCAACUCGGGUGGCCUUUGUCCUUGGAGCAUGAGGACAGUGUCAGUGAGGAUUGCAUUGCUAUUUUCCACUCAUUCAUCCCACAAAGCAUCCUCAACAAUACAGGGUCCUUGCAAUGAGAAACUUCUAAUCUAUGAAGGAGAUAAGAUGUGUCUCUAAUAACCAGACCAGCAAAAUGUGUUUGCUGUUUCCUUAGUUAUAAUUCAUAGGAUUACUUAUGAUUCAGUAAUUAUAUUACUGUUCGUUUUCCCUUUUUCCAUGUUCUUUUUUAUUAAGUUUUAUAAUUUCUUCUUU